UACGUAGGGACCAAGCGUUGUUCGGAUUUACUGGGCGUAAAGGGCGCGUAGGCGGCGUGACAAGUCACUUGUGAAAUCUCCGGGCUUAACUCGGAACGGUCAAGUGAUACUGUUGUGCUAGAGUACAGAAGGGGCAAUCGGAAUUCUUGGUGUAGCGGUGAAAUGCGUAGAUAUCAAGAGGAACACCAGAGGCGAAGGCGGAUUGCUGGGCUGAUACUGACGCUGAGGUACGAAAGCCAGGGGAGCGAAGGGG
rnacentral:rRNA from 1 species